AUUGAACGCUGGCGGCAUGCUUUACACAUGCAAGUCGAACGGUAACAGGCCGCAAGGUGCUGACGAGUGGCGAACGGGUGAGUAAUGCAUCGGAACGUGCCCAGUCGUGGGGGAUAACUACUCGAAAGAGUAGCUAAUACCGCAUACGAUCUAUGGAUGAAAGCGGGGGACCGUAAGGCCUCGCGCGAUUGGAGCGGCCGAUGUCAGAUUAGGUAGUUGGUGGGGUAAAGGCUCACCAAGCCAACGAUCUGUAGCUGGUCUGAGAGGACGACCAGCCACAGUGGGACUGAGACACGGCCCAGACCCCUACGGGGGGAAGGAGGGGGAAAUUUUGGACAAUGGGCGCAAGCCUGACCCAGCAAUGCCGCGGGCGGGAAGAAGGCCUUCGGGUUGUAAACUUCUUUUGUACGGAAAGAAACGGCUCUGGUUAAACCCCGGGGCUAAUGACGGUACCGAAAAAAUAAGCCCCGCCUAACUACGU
rnacentral:rRNA from 1 species